UACGAAGGGGGCUAGCGUUGUUCGGAAUGACUGGGCGUAAAGGGCGCGUAGGCGGCGAUGUAAGUCAGGCGUGAAAGCCCCGGGCUCAACCUGGGAACGGCGCUUGAUACUGCGUUGCUUGAGGACGGGAGAGGAUGGUGGAAUUCCCAGUGUAGAGGUGAAAUUCGUAGAUAUUGGGAAGAACACCGGUGGCGAAGGCGGCCAUCUGGACCGUUUUUGACGCUGAGGCGCGAAAGCGUGGGGAGCAAACAGG
rnacentral:rRNA from 1 species